rnacentral:rRNA from 1 species
UACGUAGGGUGCAAGCGUUGUCCGGAAUUAUUGGGCGUAAAGAGCUCGUAGGCGGUCUGUUGCGUCGGCUGUGAAAACCCGAGGCUCAACCUCGGGCCUGCAGCCGAUACGGGCAGACUAGAGUUCGGCAGGGGAGACUGGAAUUCCUGGUGUAGCGGUGAAAUGCGCAGAUAUCAGGAGGAACACCGGUGGCGAAGGCGGGUCUCUGGGCCGAAACUGACGCUGGAGGAGC